GGAAAAAGAAAACAAUGGGAUAAAAUACAACAGGGGCUAGAGAAAAACGUAAAUGUUUAGUUUCACGUAAAUCCGUAGCCGGAGAUUUUUAAGGAUGGCUUGGAAGGGAAAGAAGUAGGGAUAGAGAGAGAGAGAGAGUGAGAGAGAGAGGAAGAGAAAGAGAAGAGGGUGAAGGGGAGCAGACGAGAUGCCUACGUCUAGAGAACGCUGGGGACGCUUCUCUUCUUAAAACGCGUCUUAAGAAAACACCCAGAGAAAUAAGAAACCUGUUCCUGCGAGAUAGAUUAACCGUCCUUCGGAGACCAGACGGCAAAUGAAUUUCAACGGAAGUUGGUUGGCGGAGGUAGAGGAACUGGACGUUCGAAUGGUGCCGAUAAAAAGGACACAUUUUGUUCGUCGAAGAGGGUAACGAGCGGAGAUACUCACGGCAGAUGCAACGGUCUGCCGGAUUCGAGCUGUACAAAUAAUCAAAGUAAACUUUUUCGACAUACGGCAUAUACCGGAAUUACCAUCGUAAACUCUCGCAUUCACAAGAAGAGCCAGGCCAAAAUUAAGAAGACACACGCCGACGUUACCAGCCGUACGCGUUGGCUCUAAUCUAAAUAUUUUCCUCCGUAACCGUCCUCGAAAACAAUCAGCCAUUGUUUAUAGCCGUAGAACGAAUCCUUUCUUUCGCGAAGACUAUAUAUAAAACCAAGGAUAUCGGCCAGUUAAAUUCUUUCUUAUGAUUUAUCGUUCCAAAAAUUUUUGCUUAUAUAAUUUUUUUUAUAAAUUAAUCAUAAGUUUGUUUAAAUAAUAAUAAAAAUAGUAUUAAAUUAUCUUAAAUACUAUUAUAUUAUAAAAUAUUUAUAGUUAAAGCUAUUGAAACCACUAACACGUGAAUUAUUCUACAACAUAUUGAUCAAAAUGCGAAUCAUUUUAAAACUGAGCUGAUACAAAUAAACGGAACGUAUAUUAAAUUUAAACGAUAUGUUAAUAAAUAAAC